CCCUCUUGCGGGGGAUAACCUUCCGAAAGGAGGGCUAAUACCGCAUAAGACCACGGGCUGUGAUGCCUGAGGUUAAAGCAGGCCUCUUCACGAAAGCUUGCACAAGAGGAUGGGUCCGCGGCGCAUCAGGUAGUUGGCAGGGUAACGGCCUACCAAGCCUAAGACGCGUAGCUGGUCUGAGAGGAUGAUCAGCCACACUGGAACUGAGACACGGUCCAG
rnacentral:rRNA from 1 species